rnacentral:rRNA from 1 species
AUGGCUCCGCCAACGCCGCCGCCGCCGCCGCCGCCGCCCGGCUACUUCGAGCGCCGGGCCGCACUCAUCGCCAAGGCUGCCAACGCCGCGGCCACUUCUCUCUCGGCCCUCACCAUAGCUCCACAAAACUACCCUGCACCCAUCCUCGCCGCACCAAUAUCUCUUGCUGACACAAUCUCCGACGUCAGCCCCUACAUCCCCAUAGUUCUUGAUCUCGCCGCCCACAACUACUACCAUUGGAGACAUCUCUUCGAUCUCCACCCCGGCCGCUGCAACCUGCGCUCGCAUGUCGCCGCCAACUGUCUUCCCCGCCCCGACGAUCCGCAAUGGUUGAAAGACGAUCUCGCGAUCGUCCAGUGGUUCUACACCCGCAUCACCACCGAGAUCUUCAACAUGCUCGAUCACGACGGCGCCACCGCUGCCAACAUCUGGCACUCCCUCCGUCAGCACUUCCAAAGCAACACCGCCGCUCGGAAAAACGCUCUCCACACCGAGCUUCGCAAUAUGGUGCAAGGAGACGCCCCGGUGAACCUGUUCUGCCAGCGCGUUAAGACCAUUGGCGAUGAGCUCCGCGAACUCGGCGAUACAGUUAGCGACUCACAGCUAAUCAAUAUCGUCGUCGUCGGCCUCAGCGAAGACUUUGACAAGCAAGCCUCGUUCAUACCGAUGAUACGGCCCCCUCCUACCUUCGCUGAAGUACGUUCCUUGCUACAACUCGCGGCGGAAACACAAGCUCGCAAGGAUUCUCGCCCCAAGGUCUUUCAUGCUGCGGCUCGUCCUCCUCUGUCGUCUACACCAGCGCCGCCUUCCAGGCCGGCUCCUACCGCCGGGCCGUCCGCAUCGUCAUCUGUUGAACCGCCCCCAGGCUGGCGUCCUAGUCCGAACUACCACGGCAAAAACCCUAUCUACAGGCCGCCGCCGACUCGUUCGGUUCCGCCUACGACAUCACCAGCACCGAGUCCUGCACCACCCACCAGUGCUCCAUCUGCGGUUGCAUGGCGGCCUCCUCAUAAUCCUUGGACGGGGCUUGUUCAAGCAUGGCCCAUGCCCUGGUCCGCUCCGUCCACCCUCGGUGCUCCGCCGGCAUACUCAGGUGCCUGGCAACCCGGCCUUCGGCCGGCUACUGGUGCUCCCGGGGUUCUCAACCCCCGACAGCCGGCCAAUGCCUAUCACGCCGCCCCGACGUAUGCUCCUUAUGGUCAUUACAGCACCGACGGCGGCGCCUACUACACACCUCAGCCGGCCCUGCUCCCGACGCCACCCCCACCACAGCCGGCCAAUGCCUACUACACUCCCCAGCCGGCCCUACUGCCUUCACCAUCGUAUCCGCCGGCACUGCUUUCGACGCCACCCUCACCUGCGACGCCGAGCUGGGAUCAAGCUGCCUUUCUCCAGGCCAUGAAUAACUUUGCUGCACAAGGAAACUCAGGUACGGAUUGGAUCUUUGAUUCAGGGGCCUCUAGUCAUAUGUCUGCAUCUAGUAAUUGGUUAUCUUCUUGCACUAAAUCUCCUUUCCCUUCCAUUAUCCUUGGAGAUGGAUCAUCUAUUCCUAUAUAUUGUGUUGGUCAGGCUCAACUUCCCUCUUCCACCAAACCUCUUUUACUUCGUGAUGUUCUAGUUGCACCCGCCCUCAUUAAAAAUCUUAUCUCUGUUCGCCAAUUUACUUGCGACAAUCUAGUUUCGGCUGAAUUUGACCCUUUUGGUCUAUCUGUGAAGGAUUACCUGACCAAGGCCGAGAUCGCUCGCUUCAAUAGCUCCGGUGAUCUUUAUUCUCUUAAUGGAGUUCCUGCCGCCACCCCUCCAACAUCCAUGCUGGCCUCCGUCGAUCUCUGGCAUCGUCGCUUGGGCCAUCCCAACCCCGCCGUCUUAGCUUCUAUGCUUAGUGAAUUUACCAUACCAUGUAAUAGGGACUCUCAUAAUUCUGUGUUUUGCGAGCCUUGUCAAUUAGGCAAACAUGUGCGUCUUCCCUUUAGUUCCUCUAGUUCUUGUAGCACUUAUCCCUUUGAAUUAAUACAUUGUGAUUUAUGGACCUCUCCCAUUGCAAGUGUUUCGGGUUUUAAAUACUACCUUGUUAUCCUAGAUGAUUUCACCCACUUUGUCUGGACUUUUCCUCUACGCAACAAAUCCGAGGUCCAUUCUCUUUUCCUUAAUUUUCAACGCUAUGUGUCUGUUCACUUCUUCCUCCCAAUUCGCUUUAUCCAAUGUGACAAUGGUCGCGAGUUUGAUAACAUUAAAAAUCGACUUUCUUCUUACAACAUGGCAUCCUGCUUAGGUUCUCAUAUCCCUACACCUCCCCUCAAAAUGGUAAAGCAGAACGCUCUCUUCGCACCCUCAAUGAUAUAG